GCGUAGUUCGGAAUUACUGGGCUUAAAGAGUUCGUAGGUGGUUGAAAAAGUUAGUGGUGAAAUCCCAGAGCUUAACUCUGGAACUGCCAUUAAAACUUUUCAGCUAGAGUAUGAUAGAGGAAAGCAGAAUUUCUAGUGUAGAGGUGAAAUUCGUAGAUAUUAGAAAGAAUACCAAUUGCGAAGGCAGCUUUCUGGAUCAUUACUGACACUGAGGAACGAAAGCAUGGGUAGCGAAGAGGAUUAGAUACCCUCGUAGUCCAUGCCGUAAACGAUGUGUGUUAGACGUUGGAAAUUUAUUUUCAGUGUCGCAGGGAAACCGAUAAACACACCGCCUGGGGAGUACGACCGCAAGGUUAAAACUCAAAUGAAUUGACGGGGACCCGCACAAGUAGUGGAGCAUGUGGUUUAAUUCGAAGAUACGCGCAGAACCUUACCAACACUUGACAUGUUCGUCGCGACUCUAAGAGAUUAGAGUUUUCGGUUCGGCCGGACGAAACACAGGUGCUGCAUGGCUGUCGUCAGCUCGUGUCGUGAGAUGUUGGGUUAAGUCCCGCAACGAGCGCAACCCUCACUUUUAGUUGCCAUCAUUAAGUUGGGCACUCACAAAGAACUGCCAGUGAUAAGCUGGAGGAAAGUGGGGAUGACGUCCAGUCCUCAUGGCCCUUACGUGUUGGGCUACACACGUGCUACAAUGGUAUCUAC
rnacentral:rRNA from 1 species